rnacentral:rRNA from 1 species
AGAGUUUGAUCCUGGCUCAGAUUGAACGCUGGCGGUAUGCUUAACACAUGCAAGUCGAACGGAAACGAUACUAGCUUGCUAGUAGGCGUCGAGUGGCGGACGGGUGAGUAACGCGUAGGAAUCUGCCUGAUAGUGGGGGAUAGCCCGAAGAAAUUCGGAUUAAUACCGCAUAAUCUAUUCGUAGUAAAGUGGGGGACUUUUAAGCCUCACGCUAUCAGAUGAGCCUGCGUAAGAUUAGCUAGUUGGUAGGGUAAAAGCCUACCAAGGCAACGAUCUUUAGCUGGUCUGAGAGGAUGAUCAGCCACAUCGGGACUGAGACACGGCCCGAACUCCUACGGGAGGCAGCAGUGGGGAAUAUUGGACAAUGGGGGCAACCCUGAUCCAGCAAUACCGCGUGUGUGAAGAAGGCCUGAGGGUUGUAAAGCACUUUCAAUUGUGAAGAAAAGUUAACGGUUAAUAACCGUUAGCCUUGACGUUAACUUUAGAAGAAGCACCGGCUAACUCCGUGCCAGCAGCCGCGGUAAUACGGAGGGUGCAAGCGUUAAUCGGAAUUACUGGGCGUAAAGCGUGCGUAGGCGGUUUAUUAAGUCAGAUGUGAAAGCCCCGGGCUUAACCUGGGAACUGCAUUUGAAACUGGUCAACUAGAGUAUGGUAGAGGAAAGUGGAAUUUCUGGUGUAGCGGUGAAAUGCGUAGAUAUCAGAAGGAACAUCAAUGGCGAAGGCAGCUUUCUGGACCAAUACUGACGCUGAGGUACGAAAGCGUGGGUAGCAAACAGGAUUAGAUACCCUGGUAGUGCACGCCGUAAACGAUGAUAACUAGCCGUUGGGGGGAUUUACCCUUUAGUGGCGAAGCUAACGCGUUAAGUUAUCCGCCUGGGGAGUACGGCCGCAAGGCUAAAACUCAAAGGAAUUGACGGGGACCCGCACAAGCGGUGGAGCAUGUGGUUUAAUUCGAUGCAACGCGAAGAACCUUACCUGGUCUUGACAUCCUGCGAACUUUCUAGAAAUAGAUUGGUGCCUUCGGGAACGCAGUGACAGGUGCUGCAUGGCUGUCGUCAGCUCGUGUCGUGAGAUGUUGGGUUAAGUCCCGUAACGAGCGCAACCCCUAUCCUUAUUUGCCAGCACGUCAUGGUGGGAACUAUAAGGAGACUGCCGGUGAUAAACCGGAGGAAGGCGGGGACGACGUCAAGUCAUCAUGGCCCUUACGACCAGGGCUACACACGUGCUACAAUGGGAAGGACAAAGAGCCGCGAAGCCGCGAGGUGUAGCUAAUCUCAGAAACCUUUUCGUAGUCCGGAUUGGAGUCUGCAACUCGACUCCAUGAAGUCGGAAUCGCUAGUAAUCGUAGAUCAGAAUGCUACGGUGAAUACGUUCCCGGGUCUUGUACACACCGCCCGUCAUACCAUGGGAGUGGGUUGCACCAGAAGUGGCUAGUCUAACUUAGUGAGGACGGUCACCACGGUGUGAUUCAUGACUGGGGUAAAGUCGUAACAAGGUAACC